GACGACGCUGGCGGCGUGCUUAACACAUGCAAGUCGAACGGAGUUACGUAUGAAGUAUUUCGGUACGGACUAUGUAACUUAGUGGCGAACGGGUGAGUAACACGUGGGCAACCUGCCCUUAACCGGGGGAUAACAUUGUGAAAACAGUGCUAAUACCGCAUAACAGAGUAUCGGGCAUCCGAUAUUUUAAAAGGAGCAAUCCGGUUUUGGAUGGGCCCGCGUCCAAUUAGCUAGUUGGUGAGGUAACGGCUCACCAAGGUUACGAUUGGUAGCCGAACUGAGAGGUUGAUCGGCCACAUUGGGACUGAGACACGGCCCAGACUCCUACGGGAGGCAGCAGUGGGGAAUAUUGGGCAAUGGGCGAAAGCCUGACCCAGCGACGCCGCGUGAAGGAUGAAGGUCUUCGGAUUGUAAACUUCUUUGAUCAGGGAAGAAAGAAAUGACGGUACCUGAAGAACAAGCCACGGCUAACUACGUG
rnacentral:rRNA from 1 species